GCAUUCGUGGUGUAGUGGCCAGCACGCUGGACGAGGAAUUCCAGAGGUCUGUGGUUCGAGUCUCGGCGAAGGCU
rnacentral:tRNA from 1 species